CUUUUCUCUGCCAGGACGCGGCCGUGGCAUUUCUGGUCUUGUAAACAUCAGACUCUUUGGGGCCUUAAAAAAAUAAAGACGCCCCUCCUUCCUUUACCGGGGGUGAGCCGGCCGGGGAAAGCGGCGGACAGGGAAAUCAACUAAUGAAGACUCCGGGAAACUUUUCUCUCUUUUUCUCUCUCUGGCUCCGCUCCCCGCCAGCUGGGGACCCUUCCCUCCCUCCUUCCUCCCCCUCCCUUCCCCCGCCUCUCUUUUUCUCUAUCUCCCAGUCUUCUGUACCUCUCGCCGCCGUCUGUAACUCUGGGCUCCCUCUCUCCACUCCCCACUCCCCUACUGCAGGCUUCUAAAUCCGUUCCAUUCCACUGCGAAGCGGAGCAGGACCUAAGAAUUGGAGAGAAAAUUAAACGUCAUAAAGAAAAGUUCAUUUACAGCUUAAAUGUCUGAAUGUUACGGUUUCCUUCAGAAAACAAGGCGGUACACUCGGUAAGGAGAAGUGAGGCAGCAGGGGUGGGGAGGGCUGGUGCGGUAGGAGGCUUGGUUUUAUUUCUUUCUCAGAUCCAGAGGCGGAAAGAAAGGGGGAGAAGCAGGAAAGUGCGACAGAAGCGUUUUACCCGGGCAGCUAGCAAAGAAAGAUGCUGCAGUCGGUGGAACUGGAAGCAAAGCGCAUAAGGGCCCAGUGCGGGGGCAGCGAUCCCCGAGCGCUGAGCUGGCUGCGCUGAGGCCUGGCGUGCGGAGAAACAAAUAUAUUGGAUAUUUGCUGGUCUAGGGGAGGGGUGAGGCAAGAAUGGAGGGAGACAGGGAGACCGGGAGCGUAAGGCAGCGCCGCAGCCGGCCCGGCGAGACCGAAAGAGCCCCGUAUCCGCCGCGACAGCCUUUGGCGGUGGGCAGUGGGCAGGCUCAGCUCGAAGGCUCAGGGAGGAAGGAUCCCGAACUGAGAUCCUUGAUCCUUUUCCUCCAGGGUAGCACUGGGGAUGAACAGAGAGAAAGAAGGAGAGGAAAAUAAUUGGUGUGGGGAUAUCUGCGGAGGACUUACCUUUUUCCUGGACCUCACAGCUCGUUUUCGCCUCCUCUGGGCUCAUGGAGACAUUUUAAGGCCUAAUCAUUGCUUUUUAAAUUGAAAUUCUAAUGGCAAGGGAAGGGAAGGAUGCACAGAAAACAAUGAUGGGGAAUUCUGGUUCAAUCUGAUGCUCCAAAAGCCUCUAAUUGUUGUCACCUCCACCCUCCUCAACUGGAAAAAUGGCCUCUGGGAUCUGCCCCCACCUCCCACUUUACCUUUCUGAUUGAGAGCACCUCCGGGAUAUUAGGGACCUGAGGGUCUAAGUCCCGGGUGGGAGCCGCCAGGAGCAGGGGUGUUGGUCUGUGGAACUCCCAGGCCUCAGUGCCUGGUGCUCUCUUACCCUGUGUUUUCAUCAUAAAAAACAAAGGAAGAGGAUUUGAUUAUUUCUGGUGAUGUUAAAUGAUCCUGGCUUUCAAAGCAGCUCUGACCCCAAGAUCUAAGGUGAUAAGUGUCUCUGCCAUAGACGUUUAAUCUGGGCAAAGUGCCACUUAUGUUACAAAAUGCCUGGGCUCAACGGGCUGGAGGGGUAGCCGGGAAGCCCCAGGGAGGGAACAGCAGGCUCUCUUUGGCAGUAUCUAGAGUUCGGUGGAUAGUAUUUUAAACAGUUGAAAUGGACUGGGGAGGCCCUUUCUUAUGUCCCCUCAGUCUGGGAAGGGGAGCUCCAGUUAGUGAGGUGGUUUAUGAGCUGGACGCUUCCCCCUAGUGUGGGAAAGAUAGAGAUAGCCAGACCUCACCCUACAAAAAUGUGCUUCAUGUCUGUGACAUAAAAUUGGCAGGCACUUUGGAGAUUUAGGGACUUGCAGAGAGUGGGGCAGGGCCAGACAACCUGGUGAAAGCAGAGGCUGAGGUGUGAUUCAGGGUGGGUGGGGGUAUCUGAGGGAGUAAGCCUGGGAAGGUAUCACCCAAAACCAUUUCCUGAGAGAAGCCAAAUACACACAAUGCACUCCAAUAUUGAAAAACACCAGAUGAUCUGCUUGGAAGGGAUAUAAACAGGCCAGGCGGAUGCAAGUUAAUAAAACCUGAAAAAGCCCAGGCAGGAACACUUAAAAUGCCCCAGAAACAAAGCAUACCAUGACAAAUUCUCACCCAACACACAAGUACACGCACCGGAAUGUUCCCCAACACAGAGAAAAAGAGACUUCCCUACCUUGGGCCUCCACUCGUGAACACUCAGGCGUACCUGCCCAGCUCCAAGAGUGUACACAAAUGUGUGCACUCUCAUAAAAUGACCCAAAGAAACCCCUGGGGCCUGCGGGCAGGCACCGGCUGCACAAACACCCCACAGAGCCAGCCCCAUGUCUCCUGAGCCUCGCUAAUGCACGAUCCAUACCCGGAGAUAAAAGUCUAGACAAUAGAUGGCUGUUUAUGACAACGAGGCUCUCCAAGUUUGGGGCCAGGCGAUAAAUCUCUGGCGAAUCUUCCUGUAACUCAACUUCUGACUGUAGUGAGGAGAAAACCACUGAGCCCGCCGAAAGGAAAGCAGCAAAAUGGGGGAGACUUGUAAAUCCUGAGCAGAAGGCACUUUCCUUGCUGGGGCAAGGAGGCAUAGGCCACAACACUCACCCCACGGAGCAGUCCUCACUGUGGAAGCUUUCGGAUCAAGCUCCAGAGCACAGGCGAGUCAGAGUUCCCCACUGCCUGCCUAGGCUUCCAGGUUCCGGAAAUCAGGGCAGAAUGUGCAGGCAGAAGGCAGGGCCUGGAGGCUGGAACAGAUCCCAAACAAAUGAUUCUUGCUGGGGGCAAAAGAUUUUUUUUUGUUUUUGUUUUUGGUGACUGGAAUCUUUUUGCUUUGUGUCACCUGAAGUUUUUCACCCCAUGCCUUCCCACCCCUCUCUUUUCUUUUUCCUUUUGGAUUGAUUAGCUGUUUGUUCCCUUUUGCAUUUUCGACCCAGGCAUCUGAUCGCUAAUAAAGAGUUGCUGAAGUUGAUCUCAUAAAAAUGCCGCGAGCUCACUUUGAUCAGGAGGACUAGGUCCGAGCCUUAAUGUAGGAGCUAAAGCCAGAGAAUCAGGGCUCCGGCCAACCCGCCUCUGCUCUGUGGUGAGGCGGGAGAUCUGGGUGGCCCAACAGGGCAAUCCCACCCAGAAAAGGUAUUUUCUGUGCCACUACAACUGGCUUAGGAAACUGAAGCCCAAUAGCAGCGGCUCCAUUUCCAGCCUGCUUUUAAGACAUUUCCUUCAUUUUGGAGCAUUUGGUGAGGGGGCCAGUGAAACCGGCUCGUAAAAUAGGGCUUUUAUGGGAAGAAAUAGGGUCGGGUUGCUAGCAUCCUGGGACAAUCUCUCCACAGAGGAAGCUGGGUGGGGCCUGUGGGGGCAAAGGAGCUGUCCUUCUCCCUCCCCACUACCUCCUCCAUAGGUCCCAGGAACCUCUGAGCAGCGUCCACCAGCUUAGGUGGCCUGACUUGGGGACUCAGGCUUGGGGCAAUGGCCAAGUCUGAGAAGAGGUGGAAGCCAGGAACUAGCAGUCCCACCCGCUUCUUGUUCCCUGGCUGGGGCUGGGGUGUCCCGGGUGCAAGAUAAACCACUGACCUGAAAAUCCCAAAGCAUACUAAAGGGAUUAUUGCAGGCAGUGAUAUUACUGUAAGGGAGAGAAAUAUAGGCAAGAAGGUGAAAGCCAAUUUCUAAUGAAGUCUCCUUGCUGGCCCAGCCUGUGAACAAACGAGAGCGUCCAUGUGUGGGACUCUCUCCGCUUAUCUUUUUAUUGACUCCACACAGGCUGAAUUUACAAUCCAAGCCCACUGGAGCAUAUGUGGGCCCCAUUUCUUCUUUCAGCAUUUUCCUCCCCAGUUCAUGGUCUGUGGGAUGGGCUCCUUUCCCUACCACGAUCUGCUCUCUAGAACCCAGAGCAGUGGAGGAGGUAGACAAGCUAACAGGAGGCCCCAACGCUGUGUGCGGGAGUUUGCUCUGGGAGCCGCCCAGGGUAGAAUUUAGGAGACACUGUCCCCUUCUUAAGCUGCCCCUGUUGUCCGUGUGUUGGAGGGAAGGGUGCUGGAGUCUGCCUUAACUUUGGUCCAGCUACCUGGACAGCUGCCCAGACCGCAGCCGCCUGCUAGCAGCCAGGCUGGCUGAUGGCGCUGACUGAGGACACCAAGAGCCAGUGGGGAGGGCCGGAUGGCCCUGCUGCAGAGAAUUUCAGGUGAAGGCCAGGACUCAAAGCAGAUGGAGGGGUCACAGGCACCCACCAGAUAAGAUACAAAUAAGCCACCUGGAGCGGGCUUGACAAGGAAGGGAUUGGGGGCCAGGGAUGGCUCCUGUACAGGGAGGUAUUGAUGCUGUGGCCAGAAUCCACAGGCUGAGAGGGUGCAGCCUAGGGCAAACAUCUCAGCUGAAGCGUCCAGGUAGCCUGGACCCAGGGCUGGGCAGGGAGGCUACUCCAGACCAUGGGCAUUUUUGCCAGUAAAUGUCUAGCUGACCUCAGUGGCCAGGGCCUUCUUUCCUUGACCGUAGCAGCAACUGACAGUUGCUAGAGGUUUUUUGAUUUGUUGAAAAACUAAGCCAUAUCAACACUAGAGAACAUUUUAAACUUUAUGCCUUACUUUUAAGGGGAGGAAUAUUACUUUCCAGAAGUCUCUGUUGGGAGACCCCAGCGUUUCCUAGACAUCAACUCUUUGACAUUCUUUCUUGCAUUUCUUUUUUGUUUCAAGGAAAUAGGGCCGCCAGCAGCUCCUUGUUGCCGCCUGGCUCACUUUUAUGGUGGCCCAGGAAUAAACUUUGGUGGUCAAAUUCAAGUGCUCAGUCCAGCAGCUGUCUCCUCACAGGAUACAGCCCCUACCCCCAUCUCAGUCCUGGCUUUGCUGAAUCUGCCUUGGGGGAUUGGGCCCCACAUCACCCUGGAGGGCCAGGAGGGGGAAGGAAGCAGAGCCUUGGGUGGAAGUGGAGAAAGCGGGAUCUGAGACUCGAGCCCUCAUCCACACCUCUGCAAGGAUAGGGGUACCUCUCGCUUCCCUCUUGCUGGUUCCUAUCACUGUUUGGGCAGCAUUUUGCCUUCAAUAAACUCGAGUUUAAUGAGGUCAGUGUGAACCCCAUUAAAAGCCAUAGUCCAUAGUUCCCCACCACUAUAAUUAAAAAUGCUGGCCCCAUCUCACUCUAUAAAAAGGGCUAGAGGAAAAAGGAAACACAGCAGAUUUUUCUUUUCAUGGCCCCUUACCAACAGAAGUCUCACACUUCAGCAAAGCCCCAAUCUAGUUCUUCUUUGCUUCAGUUUAAGAUCUGACCAGAACUAAAGGAGUAGCGCCCAGCAUUGAGUGCGUAGAGGGGCACCUGAGACCUAUCCCUGAGUAUUCCAGAACCACCCUGAGAAUGGGACCCAUGGUGGAGGCAGACUCCACUCAGGUGUCACUUAAAUGCUGAGCAAGUUUGAGGAGGCAGGAGCAUUGAGGAGGAAUGGAUUUUAGGGGUUACAUAUGGAGACAAGCUACAAUUUUUUGUGUCCUCCUUAUCUGGUUUGGGAGCCGCAGCACCUUAUCAUGUUUCAUCAAGACAAAUCCAUUCUAAUUUCUUUAAGUGGAAACUAAUUUUAACUGAGGGUUAUGGAUGUAAAGAGAGUUCGGGCUAUUUUUUGUUUUCCCCUGAGUGUGCAUUGGGCUGAGCCCUUGGGGGCUUCGGU
rnacentral:lncRNA from 1 species